AGAGGGCAAAGAGUCAUCGGGAUUAUGGCUACUAUACUUUUAUAAAUAUAGACCACUUUGUACUGAUAAGUUUCGACUGUUAGAUCUAUUCAUUUGAUAAUUUCCAUCCGUUAUGGACCAAUAUCAUCCUAACUGUAUAUCUCUUCAUCUAGCGGUCGAAAAUUUAUGAGUAAAAAAAUUUAUAUUCAUAAAAGUAUAGUAACCUUAGCCUAAGUCCAAGCUCAAUUUGAUUUUUUUAAAUAUUAAUGAACACACGUGCUGUGCUGGGAUGAAACCAUAGUUAGUUAAUUCGGAUUCGGCAAAAAUUCGGUACAAGUAUAAUACGCAUAAAAUUCGGUUUCUAAUUUUUAAAUUCGUUGAAAAAUUCGGCGUAAAAAAUGGAUUCGGUAUAAAAUAUAAAAUAUAAAAUAAUCUAUAUUUAAAUAUAAAAAUUAUAUAUUUUUUAUUCAUAUUUUUAAUAAUUCGGAAAUAAUUCGCGAAUUAUUCGGUUGGUCCAAAAAUUCACGAAUAAUUUUCUAUCUUUGAAAAAAUUUUGUAAAUGGAUCGUUUAAUUCGAAUUUUCAAUAAUUCACGAAUAAUUCGCGAAUUAAGUAACAUGGGAUGAAAUUUCCUAUCUAAUGGUCAACGAUGGUGCUCUGCUGUACGAAGGGUCGUUACGGAGAAGAGACCACUAAUCAUAAUUGAAUGGAUUAUUAGAAAGUUAGGAACACAAAGACUGUUGUGUUUCUAAUAGUACAGUAACCUUGCCAUAUAUAACAAUUAAAAAUAUAUUUUUUUAAAAAAAAUUCAGCUGCUAAAUUGCUUUCAUAGUAAAAACAAUUGAUUUGAAAAUCAGAUCGAACCAACCGAUUCAACCGAUCCAACCAUUAUCCUACCUAUAAAGCAAUUCAAUUCGAUUCUAUGAAUUGGAUAAGUCAAAAAAUCGUUUCAACCUAUUCGAGCCAACGAUUCAACAAUCAAACCAGUUAACUGGUUCGAUUUUAAUCAAACUAGCCAGAUUUUUUAUCAAGUAAUAUUAAAAUCCAACGGCUUAAAAUUAAUUUAACUGAUUUUAUUUUCUGUUAGCACGGAUUAGUUUUAUAAAAUGUAAAACUUGAAAAUUUAUAUCUACUAAAUUUAGUCUAAAAAUUAUUAUUUUAUAAUUAAAUAUGAUAUUAAAAUAAUAUAUAUAUAUAUAUAAUAAAAUUAAAAAUAAUAAUUAAAUAUUUACAAUGUGAUG
rnacentral:lncRNA from 1 species